GUGGGGAAUUUUGGACAAUGGGCGCAAGCCUGAUCCAGCCAUGCCGCGUGCAGGAUGAAGGCCUUCGGGUUGUAAACUGCUUUUGUACGGAACGAAAAGGUGCCUUCUAAUAAAGGGCGCUCAUGACGGUACCGUAAGAAUAAGCACCGGCUAACUACGUGCCAGCAGCCGCGGUAAUACGUAGGGUGCGAGCGUUAAUCGGAAUUACUGGGCGUAAAGCGUGCGCAGGCGGUUUUGUAAGACAGAGGUGAAAUCCCCGGGCUCAACCUGGGAACUGCCUUUGUGACUGCAAGGCUGGAGUGCGGCAGAGGGGGAUGGAAUUCCGCGUGUAGCAGUGAAAUGCGUAGAUAUGCGGAGGAACACCGAUGGCGAAGGCAAUCCCCUGGGCCUGCACUGACGCUCAUGCACGAAAGCGUGGGGAGCAAACAGGAUUAGAUACCCCGGUAGUCC
rnacentral:rRNA from 1 species